rnacentral:lncRNA from 1 species
CUUCUUUGCCAGCAGCUGGUCUUUGGGUGGCUGUGUUUUAGCCAAUGAAAUAAGAAGAAAUCUCCUGGGGUGGAGGUAGGCGAGCUUCUUAGAAAGUCUUCCUCUCUGACAAAGAGGAGGAGGUAGUUUUGGCUUCACUUUCCCUGCUGUGUUUGAACACUUUAUGCUCAGAGCGACAGCAGCCAUCUGUGUCUGGGGAGGGCAGACACUGACAACAUGCUGAGCAUGACUAAUGAGAGAGUCGGGAAGAGCCUGAGCCCUNNNNNNNNNNNNNNNNNNNNNNNNNNNNNNNNNNNNNNNNNNNNNNNNNNNNNNNNNNNNNNNNNNNNNNNNNNNNNNNNNNNNNNNNNNNNNNNNNNNCCUUGAUGACAUUACAGAGUCCCUGAGCCAUCCCUAUAAUGUCAUCUCCAGGAUUCUGGUUAAGUGAAACAGUAAGCGUCUGCAUCAUUUAAGCAGGUGGUUCCCAUCCUUGGCUGCAUUUGAGAAUGAGUCCUCUCAACGCCCAAGUCAUACCCCAGACCAAUGAAAUGGGAUUUCACCAGGCAGGAGUCAGUUUUCCUAGGUGAUUCUAACAUGCAGCCAUUUUGAGAGCCACCAGGUCAGGCCACUUUUAGCUGGGCAUUCCAUUUCUGGCAGGAAAAGAAAUCCUGCAUGAUGUAGUUUCUCAUUGAAAACAUUUAUUUCAGUCAGAUAAAACUCAGAUUCUCCAAAUGGUGAAAAGAUCAGAACCAGUUUGUUUUCUCAUCAGUUUUGGUUCAUCCAUCUGUGAAAUAUUCAUAACAUUGCAGUUAAUUUCCACAAGUACUUGGAUGACUGGCUGGGACAAAUGUACAGUAGCAGUCGUAAUGCUAAAAAUAAAAAUACUCUCAGAACAACAAAGAAACAUGGCUUUACACAACUCUGUUAAGCUGUUUUCCAUUCUCUUUGUCUUUAUUGUAAUUUCCAAUUUGCUUUUUUAAUACUGGUAUUUUCUGGCAGAAUGGGGUGGUAAGUCUGCUUGGAAGACAGGUGUGUCUUACAGGCAGCAAUAUCUCUGAGUUUCUCAGGUGUAAAGUCAUCAAUUGAAACCAAGUCCCCCUAAAACCAAAUUCCUCUGAGGAGUUUAAAUCCUAAACUUUAUUCCCUGUCUUGUCCCCUCUGACCUCAAUCCCAUGCUGACUGAAGUUUAUAAUCAAACCAGAGUCAAGAGACUAAAAUUGCUGCUGUUGAUAACAUUGUUAAUAUGCUAAAACGGCUACUGUCAACUUAUNNNNNNNNNNNNNACUCAGAUUUUCUCUAGGUCAUGGACCACCAGACCAGAGACUCAAAACUGUAGGCAUCCUGACUCUCAAAGAAAUAUCACAAGAAAGACAAAUAUUGUAUGAUACCAUUUAUAUGUGGAGUCCUAAAAAAUGAUACAAAUGAACUUAUUUACAAAACAAAUAUAGACUCGCAGACAUAAAGCAAUAACCUUUGGUUACCGAAGGGGAUGGAAGGGUGAUGGAUAAUUUGGGAGUUUAGGAUUAACCUAUACACAUUACUGUAUAUAAAAUGAAUAAACAAUGGGACCUACUAUAUAGCACAGGAAACUAUAAUCGCUAACUUGUAGUAACCUACAAUGGAAAAGAAUCUGAAAAAUAAUAUAUAUGUAUAACUGAAUCACUUUGCUGUACAUUUGAAACUGACACAACAUUGUAAGUUCACUGUACUUCAAUUUUUUUAAAAAAUGAAGAGAGAAAUGUCACAAGAUGACAUUUAGCCCGUUUUUUUGUUCUUCCCAGUAAAUCACCCCCCUAACUCAAAGACCAAGUGACAGUGGAUCUGAGGCUUGUCUCCACUCGUUUGGCAGCCUGCAAUAAACCCUUACCUGCUGCCAACACCUGCUAUCUGUUUGGUUUUCGGCGCUGCAGGCAAACAAUCCCUUGCUCAGUUAUGCAACCAAAGAGCAUCAGGAGACUCCCAUGUAAGGAGCUGCCCCAUCAAGGCCAUAACCAUCCAUCAUCCCUGCUCACAUCUGUGUACUUACAGAGAGAACAGCUGUAAAACAGAACCAAGCAAACAAAACAAAAGGAGGGCAUGGUAACAUUUUCUAAUACUCCAGUGUUUUAAGACCUGUGUCUGAAAACUGUCAAAUUGCUUGCUGAAUUACCGACCACCCAAUUUUUUUCCCUUUGCCUCUAGAGAUCCCAUUAAAUAAUGGAAAAGAAGUGAAAAUAAAAAAUAAACAGAUCCACAAAAUUGAGGAUGAAGUGAAAGGAAUGAGGGACAUGCAUGAGAGGAUUCAGUACAUUUAGGAGGACAGGAAAAGAGAAGGCCACCCCAAUGAACAAGGCAGGGAAACCAUAAUCCAGGCCCACUCUUUUCCUCAUCGGCACACUAUAGGAGAUCUCAUUCAACUGCAGAUUAGGGCUCAGAUCUAGGGUAGAGUAAGAGGUUUUGUGUCUCUGAAAAACUCCUAGGUGAUGUUACUGAGGCUGUUCUGGUCUGUGGACCACCUGUUGAGUAAAUAACAGGGAAGAAGAUAUAAGGAGGGGCUACAUAGCCCAGAAGAGGCACAGUCUGCCCUGGGGAAGCUGAGCGAGAUUUUGGAUUGGGGCAGGAGUGAGAUGUGGGGCUGGAGCCAAGGAGACCAAGUAUAAGUAUGUACUGAAAACCCAUUACCACAGGGUUCAGACAGGUAAAGGGAAGAAAGCUAGUAUGGUGACACGCUAGCCCAUAGCUGCAGAAUUCAAGCCCACAGUUACCCAAUCUUAUACUUUUCAAUAAAAGACAGAAAUCUAGAAUUUGUGCGAAAUCUGAAUUUGUUUCAUCCUUGGCAAGUAAUUAAAUUGGAAGGUUGUUCUAAAGAAGGUGAGCAGAUUUCCUAGGGCAAACCAAAGCAGCGAGUUCUGGUCCUGGGGGAAGGGGUGAAGGGGGUUGAGAGGAGUGGGAGGGUAGGGGAUGGUGUUCCUAUAUGUUCACAGAGACUGAGAAGGAAAGAGUAAGCCACAGACAAAACACAGAUGCCAGGACAACGACUGAUCAGGUAGCAGCCGGGAGUUGGGAAAUCACAAAGAUACAAUUCAGGGAUUUGGCGGAGGUAAAAGGUGGAAUCCCCCUUGGUUUGACACAGGAAUCUUCUCCACUGAGAGACAGCUGGUCAUGAUCUGGCCUUGCGGAGAAGGACUCUCGAGCUUGAUUCCUAGUCACAUCAUCAUGGAAACAUAAAUUCUUGUCAGUUUUCCACCUUGUAAGAUGAACUCAUAGACAAAUUAUGGACAUUUGAAUGAUGCUUCUAGGACAGAAUGAAAAUGUUGGAAAUUAGCAAUGUAAAAGUAAAGGUAAGGCUUUUAGGUGAAGGGAAGAGGGUAAGGAGUUAGUUUGCUCAAUAUCCUCUGCUUACCAAGCUGGAGGAAGUUGGCAUUCUUUGGUGGCUGGAGCCGAAGCUGAGACUUAAGUAUGUUGACUGAAGAUACAGAGGUGACUAGUAUAGGAAUUAAGAAUAAUAUCACUAAGAGAAAGAAGGAGUAAAUGAGCUAAAUUCUUUUCUUUUGUGGUAUAAAGUUAAAACUAAAUGUCCAAGUUGAUUAGAAGGAAUAGCAGUAGAAGUAUAUUGUUUUGAGAUGUGUAAGUUUGGAAAAAAACCAAAGCAAAAAGGAUUGCUUAAAAGAUACUGCCUCUGACAAGCAGAGCUGAGCAUAGACCUGUGGCUUUCCACAUCAUAAGGUCAUCUUUUCUAUUUGGUUUUUGGACUAUACAUGUAUAUCACCUUGAUUAAUUAUAUAAAUGUCUCUCUAUGUUAUAGAGAGAGAUUUUGAAAACAUACACUGAGUAGUAAAUUAAAGGACAAAUAUCACAGAGAACAUCUCAGUUCACAUGAAGGAAGUGGUUGUAAAGACAACGUGUUGAACUCACACACAGCAUUGAGUGACUCAAAGCUAAGAGAGAAAGAAGGAGCAAGCAUGGUAAAAUGUUUGCAAUUAGGGGAUCUUGCAGAAGGCACAUGGGAAAUUUUAUGCUAUUUUUUGAAUUUUCUUUAAAUCUAAAAUGAUAUUUAAAUAUUUUAAGAAACACUGAAAAUCAGGUAGUUUUUCUUCCUCUUUCUCAUACAAGGCAUUUCAGAAUCUUCGAAGAAUAGCUUACAGGGUAUUCCAAGUGUGGGUUCCAAAUUACAAAAUUGUGUUUGGAAUAACAUCCAGACAGUUGAAGGCUAAAGUAAAACAACAGGUUCUGCACUUUGCAGGAAAGCAUUCCGUGUUGUCUGGUGGAGCUUCAAUAUUUGCUUGGCAGCUGAGAGGAGCAGGGCUGGUAGGCUUAGCUGGAGGCACCAGCUGACCAGAGUAGGGACCUGCGGUGACGCUGCGCUGUAGUCCAUGACUCUGCUGGAGACAGAGCUGCCAGUUCAACACUGCUGGAUCAGGAGAUAACAGUACCCAUUGAUUGUGCUACUUACAUUUCUUCAGCUGCCCUCUACACACUGGGCAAGAUCAUAACCUAAUUUGACCUCUGUUAGUAGAAGUCCAACUGCUCCUUUUCCAUUUAUUUUGACUGGAAAUGAAUCUCGUUUAAAGUAUAUAUUUAUCAACAGCAUUUAUUGAUUGCUUAGCAUAUGAGAGCCCUGAUCUCAUAGCUUCUUGAACUGGCUCCUCUUAUGAUCCCCAUUUUGUGGAUAAAGAGGCUAAGUUUAGAAGCUGAAUAAUUUACACAAGAUCACAUUGCUUNNNNNNNNNNNNNNNNNNNNNNNNNNNNNNNNNNNNNNNNNNNNNNNNNNNNNNNNNNNNNNNNNNNNNNNNNNNNNNNNNNNNNNNNNNNNNNNNNNNAUUUACACAAGAUCACAUUGCUUGUAUCGGGUUGACUAAAAAGUUUGUUCAUAUUUUUCCAUAACAUCUAAUGGAAUACUUUAGAUUUUUAUGUAUAAGUACAGAAUAAGAAAAACUACUUUAUUAGCAAAUAGUAAUUUACUUAUCUAUACAUGGUACACAUUGAAGACCCUGGAAAAUGUUAUUUUUAUUUGUUUUUUUGUUUGUUUUUUGGGUUUUUUUGUUUUAAUAUAAAUUUAUUUAUUUUAAUUGGAGGCUA